UACGUAGGGUGCGAGCGUUGUCCGGAAUUAUUGGGCGUAAAGAGCUCGUAGGCGGUGUGUCACGUCGAUCGUGAAAACUUGGGGCUUAACUCUGAGCUUGCGGUCGAUACGGGCAUCACUGGAGUUCGGCAGGGGAGACUGGAAUUCCUGGUGUAGCGGUGAAAUGCGCAGAUAUCAGGAGGAACACCGGUGGCGAAGGCGGGUCUCUGGGCCGAUACUGACGCUGAGACGCGAAAGCGUGGGGAGCGAACAGG
rnacentral:rRNA from 1 species